UUUAUGGAGAGUUUGAUCCUGGCUCAGGAUGAACGCUGGCGGCGUGCCUAAUACAUGCAAGUCGAGCGAACGGACGAGAAGCUUGCUUCUCUGAUGUUAGCGGCGGACGGGUGAGUAACACGUGGAUAACCUACCUAUAAGACUGGGAUAACUUCGGGAAACCGGAGCUAAUACCGGAUAAUAUUUUGAACCGCAUGGUUCAAAAGUGAAAGACGGUCUUGCUGUCACUUAUAGAUGGAUCCGCGCUGCAUUAGCUAGUUGGUAAGGUAACGGCUUACCAAGGCAACGAUGCAUAGCCGACCUGAGAGGGUGAUCGGCCACACUGGAACUGAGACACGGUCCAGACUCCUACGGGAGGCAGCAGUAGGGAAUCUUCCGCAAUGGGCGAAAGCCUGACGGAGCAACGCCGCGUGAGUGAUGAAGGUCUUCGGAUCGUAAAACUCUGUUAUUAGGGAAGAACAUAUGUGUAAGUAACUGUGCACAUCUUGACGGUACCUAAUCAGAAAGCCACGGCUAACUACGUGCCAGCAGCCGCGGUAAUACGUAGGUGGCAAGCGUUAUCCGGAAUUAUUGGGCGUAAAGCGCGCGUAGGCGGUUUUUUAAGUCUGAUGUGAAAGCCCACGGCUCAACCGUGGAGGGUCAUUGGAAACUGGAAAACUUGAGUGCAGAAGAGGAAAGUGGAAUUCCAUGUGUAGCGGUGAAAUGCGCAGAGAUAUGGAGGAACACCAGUGGCGAAGGCGACUUUCUGGUCUGUAACUGACGCUGAUGUGCGAAAGCGUGGGGAUCAAACAGGAUUAGAUACCCUGGUAGUCCACGCCGUAAACGAUGAGUGCUAAGUGUUAGGGGGUUUCCGCCCCUUAGUGCUGCAGCUAACGCAUUAAGCACUCCGCCUGGGGAGUACGACCGCAAGGUUGAAACUCAAAGGAAUUGACGGGGACCCGCACAAGCGGUGGAGCAUGUGGUUUAAUUCGAAGCAACGCGAAGAACCUUACCAAAUCUUGACAUCCUUUGACAACUCUAGAGAUAGAGCCUUCCCCUUCGGGGGACAAAGUGACAGGUGGUGCAUGGUUGUCGUCAGCUCGUGUCGUGAGAUGUUGGGUUAAGUCCCGCAACGAGCGCAACCCUUAAGCUUAGUUGCCAUCAUUAAGUUGGGCACUCUAAGUUGACUGCCGGUGACAAACCGGAGGAA
rnacentral:rRNA from 1 species